GGUUGAUCCUGCCAGUAGUCAUAUGCUCUCAAAGAUUAAGCC
rnacentral:rRNA from 1 species